GAAGGCUAAAACAGUCAGGAUGUUGGCUUAGAAGCAGCCAUCAUUUAAAGAAAGCGUAAUAGCUCACUAGUCGAGUCGGCCUGCGCGGAAGAUGUAACGGGGCUAAGCCAGUCACCGAAGCUGCGGAUAUCCUUUAUUGGAUAUGGUAGGAGAGCGUUCUGUAAGCCUGCGAAGGUGUCUUGUAAAGGAUGCUGGAGGUAUCAGAAGUGCGAAUGCUGACAUGAGUAACGAUAAUGCAGGUGAAAAACCUGCACGCCGUAAGCCCAAGGUUUCCUGUUCAACGUUCAUCGGAGCAGGGUGAGUCGGCCCCUAAGGCGAGGCAGAGAUGCGUAGCUGAUGGGAAACAGGUCAAUAUUCCUGUACCGAUCAAUAGUGCGAUGUGGGGACGGAGAAGGUUA
rnacentral:rRNA from 1 species